rnacentral:tRNA from 1 species
AGUAUAGUCAGCUAAAAAAGCUCUCAGGCCCAUACCCUGAAAAUGUCGGCACCAAUCCUCCCUAUACUA